rnacentral:rRNA from 1 species
UUAAGCGACUAAGCGUACACGGUGGAUGCCCUGGCAGUCAGAGGCGAUGAAGGACGUGCUAAUCUGCGAUAAGCGUCGGUAAGGUGAUAUGAACCGUUAUAACCGGCGAUUUCCGAAUGGGGAAACCCAGUGUGUUUCGACACACUAUCAUUAACUGAAUCCAUAGGUUAAUGAGGCGAACCGGGGGAACUGAAACAUCUAAGUACCCCGAGGAAAAGAAAUCAACCGAGAUUCCCCCCAGUAGCGGCGAGCGAACGGGGAGGAGCCCAGAGCCUGAAUCAGUGUGUGUGUUAGUGGAAGCGUCUGGAAAGGCGCGCGAUACAGGGUGACAGCCCCGUACACAAAAAUGCACAUACUGUGAGCUCGAUGAGUAGGGCGGGACACGUGGUAUCCUGUCUGAAUAUGGGGGGACCAUCCUCCAAGGCUAAAUACUCCUGACUGACCGAUAGUGAACCAGUACCGUGAGGGAAAGGCGAAAAGAACCCCGGCGAGGGGAGUGAAAAAGAACCUGAAACCGUGUACGUACAAGCAGUGGGAGCACGCUUCGGCGUGUGACUGCGUACCUUUUGUAUAAUGGGUCAGCGACUUAUAUUCUGUAGCAAGGUUAACCGAAUAGGGGAGCCGAAGGGAAACCGAGUCUUAACUGGGCGUUAAGUUGCAGGGUAUAGACCCGAAACCCGGUGAUCUAGCCAUGGGCAGGUUGAAGGUUGGGUAACACUAACUGGAGGACCGAACCGACUAAUGUUGAAAAAUUAGCGGAUGACUUGUGGCUGGGGGUGAAAGGCCAAUCAAACCGGGAGAUAGCUGGUUCUCCCCGAAAGCUAUUUAGGUAGCGCCUCGUGAAUUCAUCUCCGGGGGUAGAGCACUGUUUCGGCAAGGGGGUCAUCCCGACUUACCAACCCGAUGCAAACUGCGAAUACCGGAGAAUGUUAUCACGGGAGACACACGGCGGGUGCUAACGUCCGUCGUGAAGAGGGAAACAACCCAGACCGCCAGCUAAGGUCCCAAAGUCAUGGUUAAGUGGGAAACGAUGUGGGAAGGCCCAGACAGCCAGGAUGUUGGCUUAGAAGCAGCCAUCAUUUAAAGAAAGCGUAAUAGCUCACUGGUCGAGUCGGCCUGCGCGGAAGAUGUAACGGGGCUAAACCAUGCACCGAAGCUGCGGCAGCGACACUAUGUGUUGUUGGGUAGGGGAGCGUUCUGUAAGCCUGUGAAGGUGUGCUGUGAGGCAUGCUGGAGGUAUCAGAAGUGCGAAUGCUGACAUAAGUAACGAUAAAGCGGGUGAAAAGCCCGCUCGCCGGAAGACCAAGGGUUCCUGUCCAACGUUAAUCGGGCAGGGUGAGUCGACCCCUAAGGCGAGGCCGAAAGGCGUAGUCGAUGGGAAACAGGUUAAUAUUCCUGUACUUGGUGUUACUGCGAAGGGGGGACGGAGAAGGCUAUGUUGGCCGGGCGACGGUUGUCCCGGUUUAAGCGUGUAGGCUGGUUUUCCAGGCAAAUCCGGAAAACUAAGGCUGAGGCGUGAUGACGAGGCACUACGGUGCUGAAGCAACAAAUGCCCUGCUUCCAGGAAAAGCCUCUAAGCAUCAGGUAACAUCAAAUCGUACCCCAAACCGACACAGGUGGUCAGGUAGAGAAUACCAAGGCGCUUGAGAGAACUCGGGUGAAGGAACUAGGCAAAAUGGUGCCGUAACUUCGGGAGAAGGCACGCUGAUAUGUAGGUGAAGCGACUUGCUCGUGGAGCUGAAAUCAGUCGAAGAUACCAGCUGGCUGCAACUGUUUAUUAAAAACACAGCACUGUGCAAACACGAAAGUGGACGUAUACGGUGUGACGCCUGCCCGGUGCCGGAAGGUUAAUUGAUGGGGUUAGCGGUAACGCGAAGCUCUUGAUCGAAGCCCCGGUAAACGGCGGCCGUAACUAUAACGGUCCUAAGGUAGCGAAAUUCCUUGUCGGGUAAGUUCCGACCUGCACGAAUGGCGUAAUGAUGGCCAGGCUGUCUCCACCCGAGACUCAGUGAAAUUGAACUCGCUGUGAAGAUGCAGUGUACCCGCGGCAAGACGGAAAGACCCCGUGAACCUUUACUAUAGCUUGACACUGAACAUUGAGCCUUGAUGUGUAGGAUAGGUGGGAGGCUUUGAAGUGUGGACGCCAGUCUGCAUGGAGCCGACCUUGAAAUACCACCCUUUAAUGUUUGAUGUUCUAACGUUGGCCCCUGAUCGGGGUUGCGGACAGUGUCUGGUGGGUAGUUUGACUGGGGCGGUCUCCUCCUAAAGAGUAACGGAGGAGCACGAAGGUUGGCUAAUCCUGGUCGGACAUCAGGAGGUUAGUGCAAUGGCAUAAGCCAGCUUGACUGCGAGCGUGACGGCGCGAGCAGGUGCGAAAGCAGGUCAUAGUGAUCCGGUGGUUCUGAAUGGAAGGGCCAUCGCUCAACGGAUAAAAGGUACUCCGGGGAUAACAGGCUGAUACCGCCCAAGAGUUCAUAUCGACGGCGGUGUUUGGCACCUCGAUGUCGGCUCAUCACAUCCUGGGGCUGAAGUAGGUCCCAAGGGUAUGGCUGUUCGCCAUUUAAAGUGGUACGCGAGCUGGGUUUAGAACGUCGUGAGACAGUUCGGUCCCUAUCUGCCGUGGGCGCUGGAGAACUGAGGGGGGCUGCUCCUAGUACGAGAGGACCGGAGUGGACGCAUCACUGGUGUUCGGGUUGUCAUGCCAAUGGCACUGCCCGGUAGCUAAAUGCGGAAGAGAUAAGUGCUGAAAGCAUCUAAGCACGAAACUUGCCCCGAGAUGAGUUCUCCCUGACUCCUUGAGAGUCCUGAAGGAACGUUGAAGACGACGACGUUGAUAGGCCGGGUGUGUAAGCGCAGCGAUGCGUUGAGCUAACCGGUACUAAUGAACCGUGAGGCUUAACCUU